GACGAACGCUGGCGGCGUGCCUAAUACAUGCAAGUAGAACGCUGAAGAGAGGAGCUUGCUCUUCUUGGAUGAGUUGCGAACGGGUGAGUAACGCGUAGGUAACCUGCCUUGUAGCGGGGGAUAACUAUUGGAAACGAUAGCUAAUACCGCAUAACAAUGGAUGACACAUGUCAUUUAUUUGAAAGGGGCAAAUGCUCCACUACAAGAUGGACCUGCGUUGUAUUAGCUAGUAGGUGAGGUAACGGCUCACCUAGGCGACGAUACAUAGCCGACCAGAGAGGGUGAUCGGCCACACUGGGACUGAGACACGGCCCAGACUCCUACGGGAGGCAGCAGUAGGGAAUCUUCGGCAAUGGGGGCAACCCUGACCGAGCAACGCCGCGUGAGUGAAGAAGGUUUUCGGAUCGUAAAGCUCUGUUGUAAGUCAAGAACGAG
rnacentral:rRNA from 1 species